GAUGAUUAUGGAUGUAAAUCUUGUGACCCACUUUAGAAAUUAACUUUUCAGUUUCUUUUUUAAAUUGAAUGUCGAAAUUUUGUUUGUUGAUGUGUGAAUAUAUUCUUUCAUAUUCCUCACUAAGUCGUAGUGAUCUGUAUGCCUUUGAUCCCAUAGCCUUUGUUAGUUAUUGUUGCAUAUUGGUAGAUAGAAGGCAUCAAAUUUUGUGACAUAUGGUAGUAACUAGUAAGUAGAGUAGUUUAUUCGUUUCUUUUCUUUUAGAGAUAUGUCAGAUAGAACAAUGUAUAUACUUUUGAAAACCAAAUUGUUUCUUUUGAACCAAAAUUUGGGUGAUUACUCUUUUCUAAAUAUGCAAGCAAUUCUGUCUAGUUGGCUAUGAAAGCUUUCAUUUUCUUUCUAGUAUUAGUUCAUGUUGUAAAUGACCUUGUUUUGCAAACAAAACAGUUGUGAAGUUACUGUGAAACGGUGGCGUGGAAUAGUCUCUCGCUCUUUCUCUAAUUUAUUUUCUAUUUUUUACUUUGGAAAAAAAAACAUAUUAGGUAUUUCCUUUGAUUGGAAUGUAGAAGAUAAUACAUCUUUCUAUGGUUUUAUUCUUUAUUGUAACAAAUUUUGAAUAAUUGUUGUUAGUUAAUAUGGGAACCUUGCUGUUAGUUAUUUUAUUUAUUAUUUUAUUAUAAAUGCGGUUAUUUCGGUUGAACUACGGUUGAACCGGUUGGACAAAUAAACCAGUAACUAGAACGGUUCAAUGACCGGUUCGGUUUUCAGAACCUUGGUUAUGUUGUUCUUUUCAUCCUGUCCUAUUUAAUCUCUCAUUGUUAAUGGGCAACGAGGGUGUUUGGUGCAAUAAUUUUAUUAGGGCGUCUAAGUCUGGUGUUUCUGUCUUUAGAUAAAGCUUGAUUUUAUUCUACCACUUAUAUUCAUCAAGCUUAAUCUUGGAACUGCAUGAUGUUGUUGGAUGAGAGUGAGUUUGAUGUCCACUUGAAGCUUUGGGUGCUUCGAAUUCCUUGCCAACAUUGCAAACUCGCCACUCGAAUACUCAAUGGUUACAUGCUUGAUAAGCCCCGGGUUAAACCCAUCACUGAGGACCUGACAUCUCGUAAAAACCGUUACAUUAUUCUCUCCGAGAAAGUUCAGAACCAAGAUUUAUCCGAUAUUCCGAAGGAAAAACUCGAUGAGCUUAAGGGCUUGUGUGAGAUUGAAGUUGUGCCUUACUCAUUAACAUUAGGGUAUUCAUAUUGGAGUGCUGAUCACGUGCUUAAGCAGAUACUGCCUGCUGGAUUUGAGGUUCCCUCAUCCUUUGAAACAAUAGGUCAAAUUGCCCAUUUAAACUUACACGAGGAAUUACUUCCCUACAAAGAUGUUAUUGCAAAGGUUAUUUUUGAUCUAUUUAUGCAGAAAAACUAUCCAAGAAUCAAAACCGUUGUUAAUAAAGUGGGAACUAUUACAAAUGAAUUUCGUGUUCCAGAAUUUGAAGUUUUAGCAGGAGAACAUGAUAUGGUUACAGAAGUGAAGCAAUAUGGUGCCACUUUUAAGCUUGAUUACAGUUUGGUUUAUUGGAAUUCUAGAUUGGAACAUGAACAUAAAAGAUUGGUUUCUCUGUUCCAACCUGGAGAGAUCAUUUGCGAUAUGUUUGCGGGUAUAGGUCCUUUUGCAAUUCCUGCAGCCCAAAAAGGAUGCCUAGUCUAUGCAAAUGAUUUGAAUCCAGAUAGCAUUCACUAUCUGAGGAUCAAUGCUAAAGUCAACAAGGUCGAAGAUCGCAUAUAUGCAUACAACACAGAUGCUAGAAAAUUCAUCUCCCAGCUGAUGGAGGUGCCAACUUCUGAGGUUAAAUUAGAAUGUAAUGUUCCAAGUCUGAAUACAUGUGAGUCAUGCAACACAAAAGAUGAUGUUGAAACAAGUGUAGAAACUGCCUUGCUAAUUGUUGAUAGAAAGGGCAUAGGAGAUCACAAUAACAACAGUUUAGAGGAUGUAGAAUGUUCAUCAAAGCAUGAUGAUACAUCUGUAACUUCUGCUAAGAGAUCUUCUAGUAGUUCCCAUGAAGAGAAUGGAAAGACUCAUGGAACUGAUAGCUUUGAAGGUAGUGGGAAAAGAGGAAGCCAAAACAAGAGAAUGAGAGGUUCCGAGUUCACUGACACAAAAACUUGGGAGCAUAUUGACCACGUAAUAAUGAACCUACCAGCAUCAGCUGUUCAGUUUCUAGAUGUAUUUAGGGGAUUAAUCCAGAGGAAAUAUUGGAAAGGAAAUCUACCAUGGGUCCACUGCUAUUGCUUCAUUAGAGCAACUGAAACUCCAGAGACGAUAAUAGCUGUGAGUUCCUUCUACUAAUGGUGGUAGAGUCUGCUUUGAGUGCCUGUAUACAAGAACCAAUAUUUGAUCGGGUUAGGGAUGUAGCUCCAAACAAGGCAAUGUUUUGUUUAAGCUUCAGGUUGCCAGAAGCAUGCUGUAGGGAAGAUGAUCAAUAACAAGAGCAUGCUUUCUUGAUGCUGCUGAAGAGAUAUUAGCUUUGAGUGAUUUAUUACUCUAGUUCUUCGGGUGUAACAGGGCCAUGCCAUGCUAUCUGACUCAGAAAAGCGUAGUUAAAAGUGAAAAUCAGCAAAAUGGAAUAGGUCACUCUUCAAAUUGUUUCCUUUUCCUCUUUUCCCUCUUCACACACACACACACACACACACACACUAACUAACUAACUAACUAUAGGGGCUUGUUGAUUCUUCUAGAAAGAAGUUCUUAGCUUGCCUAAUCAUAUGUUGUGAUGAAUUGGUGACUGUUUUUGAGCAAUGAUUAAAGCUGUAGAUAUUUCCCCAGUUAUAUGAGAGUUAGUAUUUUACAGCAUCCUACUUUAAGUUCUCAAGCUUUCCUUUGUGCUUGAUAAACAAUGUUGGGAUUUAAGUUCGGGCAGUGUUUUACUUAAUUAUUAUGCUCUGUUGUGUUUC